rnacentral:rRNA from 1 species
GUGGGGAAUAUUGCGCAAUGGGCGAAAGCCUGACGCAGCAACGCCGCGUGAGUGAUGAAGGCCUUCGGGUCGUAAAGCUCUGUCGCAGGGAAAGAAAACCGCCAUCUGAAUAGGGUGGCGGGAUGACGGUACCCUGCAAGAAAGCCCCGGCCAACUCCGUGCCAGCAGCCGCGGUAAGACGGAGGGGGCAAGCGUUGUUCGGAAUUACUGGGCGUAAAGGGCGCGCAGGCGGUCCUGCAAGUCGGUGGUGAAAGCCCACGGCUUAACCGUGGAAUUGCCUUCGAAACUGCAGGACUUGAGUACGGAAGAGGAGAGCGGAAUUCCCAGUGUAGCGGUGAAAUGCGUAGAUAUUGGGAGGAACACCAGUGGCGAAGGCGGCUCUCUGGUCCGAUACUGACGCUGAGGCGCGAAAGCCAGGGGAGCAAACGGGAUUAGAAACCCGAGUAGUCC